AUGUCAAGAGUUUUUGUCUUCCUCAAAGCCCCUCAUGCCUCCCACACCUCUUCCUUGUUUCAUUUUCCCUCUCAUCCCACACGCUUCGACUUUCGAUUUCCAUCUCUUCCAGCUUCUCCCUAAUUUUAUUUCAUCUCUCUCUCUUUCGGCAGCCACCUUCCCCUCUCACAUUUUCUUCCUCUUCUUCACGAUUCUCCACUUUUUCUUCUUUCUUCUGCUCCAUUCGUGCAUUCAGUAGCACACACGCUGGCAUUUUGUUUUCGCCGAUAGCCGAAGAGGUGCCCAAUCGCAGAUCUGUUGCUGUUCUGUCGUGGGAGGUCGACGUAGUCUCGAUUGCUAGCUGUGAGGUGUGUUUUUUGCCCUCUUUCUCUUCUCCAACCUAUCUCUCUCUCCUCCAGCCUCUCCCUCGUAGCUUUUAGACCUACAAUCCCAACAACCAUUACGUCGCGCAUUUGUUUGUAGCUCAUCGUCGCUACAAUCUCACCUUUGAUCACUAGCCAUUCAAUUUUUGUCAGAUUUUGUUGCUCGAAGUGUUGGCCAACAGACAUUGAGGUUUCAACAAGCUUUUGGUUAUCUAGCCUUCAUGCGCGUGAAGAGAACCAAAUUUUAGAUUUGGAGUUUCCAGAGACGCUACCAACCAAAUUUUAGAGAACCAAAUGUUAUAACUGUCAAGUAUAUAAGAUCUAGCCUUCAAAUCUUAUGUACUUAACAGUUAUAACAUAUCAAGAAAAUUACAGCUUGACGCUUUUGGAGAUUAGCUACAAAGAGUGUUCCACCACACAUUCUAAGUUAGAGGAUAGUAGAGAAGAUCCUCUUGGUGGUCUAUUGAACAUUUGAAGAUUGAUUUCGUGCUGAGGAGCCAGGAUUUGAAGAGUUACAUCAAAGGUAAUAUUCUUAUGAAACCCUAUUUUAAUGACAGUUUCAAUGCAUGCUUUAAAACUCAAAUUAAAUGUAAAUUGAGUGCUUAUUGAUUCUGAUUUUUUCUGUUGCAUGUUAGUUUGCUCUAUCAAUCGGUAUCAGAGCAUGAUUUAAGCACUCAAUUAACGUUAAUUUGAGUUUGGUGGGUAAAUUUCUAUAGAUGCAUGUUUGGUUGACUAAUAUGGUUGAAAUUCAAAUUUAGUAUUAGAUUACUCUUUGAAUAUGCUGUUAAAUUUGUAAUUGGUUCUUAAUUAAUGAGCUUAUGUGUGUGCUCUAGAGUCUGUAAUUUUAUUGGAGUCAAUAGAGUUGAAACUAGGUUGUAAUCGAAGAUUGAAGCAAGCAAGGUCAGCUGCAAAAACUGGACUGGAGCUACUGCCCUCGCAUCGUUGCGACGCUGUUCAUCUCUCUGCCCGAGGUGUUACAAUGCUGGGAUGGAACAUCACAACAUUAUUCAUCCCAGCCUACAAAGGCACACAUUUGUGAGCCGUUUCACGUGGGAGGACGUUCGGUUUGACCGGUUUGGUCUUCAUUCAGUUUAGUUUAGCAACAUCUAGUCCGGUUCAACCUCGAUUGGAGCAUUUAGAGGCCGGUUCGAGCAGUUCGGGUUCGGUUUGGGUCAAGUCGAGCGGUCUAAACCUCUUUUGAAGUUGUUUUUAGGUUGUUUUUGUAAUAAUGAGUUAUUUUUUUUAUUUAGGAUGCCAAAGUUGAACCAUAUUGGUGUUGUUUAAGUAUUUUA